rnacentral:rRNA from 1 species
CCUACGGGUGGCAGCAGUGGGGAAUAUUGGGCAAUGGGCGACAGCCUGACCCAGCAACGCCGCGUGAAGGAAGAAGGCUUUCGGGUUGUAAAAUUCUUUUGACAGGGAAGAGCAGAAGACGGUACCUGUCGAAUAAGCCACGGCUAACUACGUGCCAGCAGCCGCGGUAAUCCGUAGGUGGCAAGCGUUGUCCGGAUUUACUGGGUGUACAGGGCGUGUAGCCGGGCUGACAAGUCAGAGGGGAAAUCCGGGGGCUCAACCCCCGCACUGAAGUUGAGACUGGUGGUCUUGAGUAUCAGAGAGGCAUGCGGAAUGCGUAGUGUAGCGGUGAAAUGCGUAGAUAUUAGGAAGAACACCAAUGGCGAAGGCAGCAUGCUGGACUACAACUGACGGUGAGGCGCGAAAGCGUGGGGAGCAAACAGGAUUAGAUACCCUUGUAGUC